rnacentral:lncRNA from 1 species
GAUUACAAACUUAGAUUGUUUACAAAAUUAAUGGCUUAUCAAAAAGGGGACUGUAUUAACAUCCACUAGUCAGACCCAUUUUUGCCGAUUCUUCAGCCUCCACCUUCCGAACUCCAGGACUUCCGGUCCUCCACGAUCGUCAUCUAGGGACCUGAAAUGUUUUUCCCCAAACCGGGAUGAGACUAUGUCUCAGCAAGUUCUACCCCACUAAGACCCAAUUAGGAAGCCAAUACGCCAUAAGGGCUGCCUAAGCACAACACAGGUCAAAGGGGCUUACCUUGGCAUCAGUUCCUUCCUGCACAUCAGUUCAAUUAAUAAUAUUUAUAACUACAGGAAACAAUCACAUUCCACCAAUCAGAUCGACUCAGCGAUCAAUCGACUUAAUCGAUUACAUGUCACCACGACCUUUCCUUGGUCGGUACAUUCAAUACUAUCUAUAAAGUCCGACCAUAGUCUAAGACUGCUCACCCAAGGCUGAUAAUAGAUAGCAUAGCUCGCCCAAAGCUGAUAGAUAUAGUAUACUAUGUAUAUGAUCGCCCAAAGCUGAUAGAUUAGGGCCACCAUGCCAAUUUAGUAUACUAUAUAUGCUCGCCCAAAGCUAAUAGAUUAGGGCCCCCAGGCCAAUUUAGUAUACUAUAUAUGCUCGCCCAAAGCUGAUGAAUAUAUCGCUCGCCCAAAGCUGAUAAUAAGGUAUACUGCUCACCCAAAGCUGACAUAUCGCCCGUAGGUCAAUAUAGUAUACCGGUAUACUGCUUACCCAAAACUGACAUAUCGCUCGAAGGCCGAUAUAGUAUACCACUCCAACCAUAUAGUCAAUUCAUCAUUUUUAUCAUUCACGAUAAAUAGUCGUGUGCAGGUACACGGUUGGCCUUAGCCAAAAUAUAAUAAUUUUACUUAAAAAUAUCUCACCAAUUUCAUCAGCCCAUUACAUAUUUUUGGUGCUGUAAACCGACGCCCGGUUAUUUCUCCAUUAAUAACCAAACUCAUAUAAUUUAGGAAUAAAUCCUAAAUUCACAAUUAAUUCAAUUCAGCACAAAAUAACGCUCAAAUAAAUAAACGGACUGCACCACGAUAAUUAGCACGGAAUUUUGAUCGUCAGCCUUCUAAAUCUUAAUUUCCGAAUUUUAAUUAAUUAAUUAAUUAGUUUCGAUAAUUAAUAAUUAAUUACAAUAAAUUCAAUUUAACUUAAAUUGGAGCUCAAUUAAAUAAAUGGACUUCACCACGAUCAUCAGCAUAAAAUUCCGGUCACUAGCCAUCCCAGUUGAAUUUUCGGAAAAUAAAUAAAUAAUUAAUUAAUUUCAAAAAUUAAAUAAUUAAUAUUAAAAAUUCAAUUUAGCUCAAAAUAAAGCCCGAUUAAAUAAACGGACUCCACCACAGUCAUCAGCAUAAUAUUCCGGUCACUAGCCAUCUCAAUUGAAUUUUCGGAAAUUAAUUAAUUAAUUAAUUUAAUUCCGAAAAAUAAUAUUUAAAUACCAAAAAUUCCACUUAGGCCCGAAAAGCCUAAUUGAAGCCCACUAAGGGUCGGGAAAAAUCCCGAGAUACUUUCAAUAAAUAGUAGACUACGUCUACUUGCUAAUUGCACAAUCAAUUUGUCUAAUUUACAUCACAAUUGACUAAUAAACACUAAUCCAUACUAAUCUAACCACCUAAACCUAACUAAUUAAAACUAAGAAACCCUUAAACGUGAUUAACCUACUAAGCAGGGAUUAGUGAGUUAAACUCACCCGAUUAACGAUCCAAGCGACUCAAAUCGACGAGGACGACGCGAGGAUCAAUUCACUUCAAGGCGGGCCUAGCUUCCGGGGUCGGGAAGCCGGCCAAAAUGGGCCACGAAGCCGCUGCCAUACCCAUUUUUGCACUCUAUGUGCGCUACUGGUUGGGGACGAAUACGGCGUCGGUUGAGGCAUGCAAGGGCCGAGAGGGGCUAGGCGGAGCUCCGGCGGCUGAGGCGGAGGUGUACGGCGGUCCACGGCGGCUCCAGCAGUGGCUCACGGUGCUGGACAGCUCGCUGGAACGGUGAGCUGGGCGAGAGGGAGGCCGAGACGAGCGGAGCAGUGGCGAGGCAACGACGUGCAGCUCGGUGGCAAACGGCGGAGGGCGGAGGCGCGAGACGGCAGUCCAGCAGCUAGCUAGCUGCUCCGGCAUCCUCAGAUCCGCUGGGUCUUCGAGCAAGAACCAGAGAUGGAGGAGAGAGACCGCGACGGGAGAGGAAGGGGAAGAUGGAGGGCGAAGGGCGUGCAAGCGGUCGUGGAGCUGCGACAGCGUGUGGCGUGAGGCGGCGACGACGACCUUG